rnacentral:lncRNA from 1 species
CUUUUCAUUUCCGCCACUACUGUGCUGUGUACGCUCUUAUGCUCUCAGUUCUGGUCUUCUGGAAUAUGUUAUUAAGAGAUAAAAAAUCUGUUAGAAUAACAUAGAAGACAAUGGAAGGGAAGAGGAGGAGAGGAGAGGAGACCAUCUCAUAAAGAUUGUAGAAGACCUUCAGUCCUGCAUCCACAAAGUCAAAAUUACAUAAAUCGAUAGUUCCAGGAUGUGCGUACAGUUUCAUCAAAUCAAUACUUUUCAGUGACGACAUGCAUUCUCUAAAGUGCAUUUCAUUAAGGAAGAAGAAAGGAAAGAGCAAAAGAGAGAACAAUUGAUGAAACCCUAAGUAUUUCAUUUUCUGAAUGAAGAGAAACAGAGAGAGAGAAAUGAAAGAAGAUCACACAUGAAGACAGAUAUCUACAUCACCUUAGUUCAACGCACUUCUGCAAGAAUUAAGAAUUGAACUGUACUAGGCUAGGUGCAGUGGUUCAAGCCUGUAAUCCCAGCACUUUGGGAGGCCGAGGCAGGUGGAUCCUGAGGUCAAGAGAUCGAGACCAUCCUGGCCAACAUUGUGAAACCCCGGCUCUACUAAAAAUACAAAAAUUAGCUGGACGUGGUGGUGUAUGCCUGUAAUCCUAGCUACUCGGGAGGCUGAGGCAGGAGAACCACUUGAACCAGGGAGUCAGAGGUUGCAAUGAGCUGAGAUCACGCCACUGCACUCCAGAGACAGACUCCGUCUCAAGAAAAAAAAAAAAAAAAGAAUUGAACUGUACUAAAACAUUGUGUAUGAAUAACACAAACCAAAAUAACCUAACAUGACUAGCAAAAUCAUCACCAUGGAUAAGUGAAUAUAAUUUAAUUUAUAUUACUUAAGCAAAUCUCAGCUAUAAGAAUGAAGUGCAAAUCAAAACCACAAUGAGAUACCAUCUCAUGCCAGUUAGAAUAGUGAUGAUUAAAAAGUCAGGGAACAACAGAUGCUGGAGAGGAUGUGGAGAAAUAGGAACGCUUUUACACUGUUGAUGGGAGUGUAAAUUAGUUCAGCCAUUGUGGAAGACAGUGUGGUGAUUCCUCAAGGAUCUAGAACUAGAAAUACCAUUUGACCCAGCGAUCGCAUUCCUGGGUAUAUACCCAAAGGAUUAUAAAUCAUGCUACUAUAAAGACACAUGCACAUGUAUGCUUAUUGUGGCACUAUUCACAAUAGCAAAGACUUGGAACCAACCCAAAUGGCCAUCAAUGAUAGACUGGAUUAAGAAAAUGCGGCACGUAUAUACCAUGGAAUACUAUGCAGCCAUAAAAAAGGAUGAGCUCAUGUCCUUUGCAGGGACAUGGACGCAGCUGGAAACCAUCAUUUUAAGCAAACCAUUACAAGAACAGAAAACCAAACACCGCAUGUUCUCACUCAUAGCUGGGAGUUGAACAAUGAGAACACAUGGACACAUGGCGGGGAACAUCACAUACUGGGGCCUGUCAGGGGGUAGGGGGCUAAGUGAGUGAUAGCAUUAGGAGAAAUACCUAAUGUAAAAGACGAGUUGAUGAAUGCAGCAAACCAACAUGGUACAUGUAUACCUAUGUAACAAACCUGCACGUUGUGCACAUGUACCCUAGAACUUAAAGUAUAACAAAAUUUUUUUUAAAAAGAAUGAUACGAGUGCUCUUUUAAAAAGUAGGUUAAAAACUCAUAUUAAAUUAAAAUACUAUAGCUGAAAAUAGACCUAUAUUAUGGUAGAAAAGAAAAUUUUUAAUAUUGUUCACCCCAAUAAUAUAGUACAAAUCCAGCUAAUACACAGUUAGGGAAAGCUUAGCACAGACAAAUUAAAAAGUAUUAAACAAGAGCAAAUACCUCUCCAUGCUUUCAGAAAUUAUUUAUUUUGAAUCUGGUAAUGUAUUAGUUCAUUCUCACACUUCUAUAAAGAUACUACCUGAGAAUGGGUAAUUUAUAAACAAAAAAGGUUUAAUUGACUCACAGUUCUGCAUGGCUUGAGAGGCCUUAGGAAACUUCCAACCAUGGUGGAAUGCAAAGGGGAAGCAAGGCACAUCUUACAUGGCAUCAGGAGAUAAAGAGAAGGGGGAAGCACCAGACACUUAUCAAACAACCAGAUCUCGUGAGAACUCACUCACUAACAACAUGGGGAUACUGCCCUCAUGAUCCAAUCAUGUGCACCAGGCCCCUGUCUGGACGUGCGGGGAUUACAAUUCAGAUUACAAUUUCAGAUGAGAUGUGGGUGAGGAACAGUCAAACCAUAUCAAGUAAGUACCAAUUAUUACUGUUCAUAUGCUGGGAAAUAAAAUUAACUAUUACACAACGAUACUCUGUGUCAAGAGCUGAGAUGAGCUGGAGAGAGUUGAGCUGCCAAGUGUUAGAGUAGCUGAUUAAAGCACCAAGCCAGCAUGGAAGGGACAGUGAAGCCUUAAUCACUGCCAUACUAUGGGCAAGAGGCUACACAGAAAAAGUUCCUCCAUCACCAUUCCAUUUCUCUACAUGGACUGGAGAUGAGGAUCAGAAGGAUCUGCGCAGACCUAAAGAAUGUCUCACUAAUAAAGGAGCCCAGAAAAACAUUCUCCUCCUGCCAUUUGAUAGGCCUUGACGGGGCAGAGGAAGGGGAGGUGAGCUACAAGGAGAAACAUACUGAGACUGAGUGGAGAAAAAUGUCGCCACCUCCCUACUCUUCCAGUAAGGGGGUCUCAGGGAAGGAACCUGAGCAAGACCUUGGUCUAAGCCCUCUGUAAAGAAGCCUCUGAAUGGAGGCAGCUGGAGAGGCAGCUGGGCUAGGAAUACAGAUACACAUAAAAGUAUGACAUAGGAGUACAGGAGUGCCUGCAUCCUUGACUGCAACUUUCUUCAGAGACUGCACUAAAUGGCUGUGUACCAUGUCUGGUGGGCAGGUAGCAGCUUUCCCUAGAGAAGGCCUGCCAUGUAAAGCUUUUGCAACUGCCUAUAGAGGGGCUUGAAAACACAUGCACACACACAUACACACAUGCACACACACAUCCACGCACAUACACACACAGUUUUUGGUCUGGAGCUAGACUACUUACCAUCCACAAACAACUAAAUAAUAAUUUUUAAAAGAAAAAAAUUAAUUAUUUAUACUUAUUUCUCUUAACUUUUAAACAAUAUUUGAUAAAUAAUACUUUAUCAAAAUAAAUUGGCACAGAUAAAUCUAUGGUUGAGAUGAAAUUAAAGCAAAAUAACUGUAGGCUUCUAUAACCUUUAAAUAUUUGGUAAAUAUUUAUAAUUUCAGCUUAAUAGAAUGAAUGGAAAAAAUUACAUAUGAAUAUCAAUGUAAUGAUGAAGCCAAAACACUGACUGCCUUUUAAAAUUAUUCAACCAAAAAAAAAACUCUCUGAAUGAAAUUUCAGAGCCAAAAAUAAAAUAAGGUGGCAAUAUACACUAAAUUCUACUUGACAUACAAUAGUUUCAGAUCAUUGCUACUUGAGUCAUUUAAUAAAUUUUAAAAAAAAAGUGCCUGCUGCUUUGAUAAUUAAGAGAUUAUCAUAAAAAACUAGUAUGCCUCAAUCGGGAAGAUGUUGGGAAAUAGCAUGUGAUGCUUGUAGAAAAAUGAAAAGACCAUAUUGGACAGUAAAAAAAUUUACAUUUGGGGAUUACAUUGGUUUUAAGGGGAAGGGCAUUAAAUAACAGAAUGAAAAAUUUGGAUUUUAUCUAAAAGACAAGUAGAAAACCUGAUAUUUUGUUUAAAGAAACAAAAUAAUAAAGUGGAUAUGAAUAUAUAUAGAAAAAAGAUUCAAUAUACAAUAUAUAUUUAUAUAUUAUUUAAUAACAUAUUUUUCAAUAUGUUAUUGAAAUAAAAUUCACAUACCAUAAAAUUCACUUUUAAAAUGUACAAUUUAGUGAUUUUUAAUGUAAUCAUAGAGUUCUGCGACUAUCACAAGAAAACAGAAACAAAAUUACAGUCAUAAAGUUGCAUGCUAAUAAGUAUAUUCCAUUCAGCAGCGUUAUGUAGUUGUACCAAAUAAUAUCAAAAUGAAAGAGUAAAAUAAUGAGUUGUUGAACUGGGGCACUUGGUUAGAUAUCUAGAAAUGAUUAUGAUCAAUUAGUAACAUAUUAGUUAAUCAUCGAAAAGGUAAGAAACUGUUUGAAAUCCUCCCAUGUGUAAUUUGGAAAAAAUAAUAUCUUGGGAUAUUCAAUGCAAUUUUUAAAACCUAGUUUUACUUUUAAUAGAUAAAAUGUGAUCAUGGCAAAUUUUUAUAUUUGUUUUGAAAAAAUCUAGGUUAUUUUAUAAUCUAAGGAAGCUGCAGGGAGAAUAAGAUUUGUGGCAAUUUGCACACAAAAGUGGACUGCCAAGUAUGCUUAACAUUAAUUGCAAUUGCUACCUAAUUUUGUAACAGAAGCAAGUAAAUGAGAAGACCUAUUUUAGUAGUUAAUUUUCUGAACAUUAUGACUUGCACAAAGUAACAACUCAGAAAAUAUUUAUAAAUGGAGCUUAAUACAGUGAAUUGAUGUGAAACUACAUAUCAAUGUCAAUACAUUGAUAGAGUCAAAAAAUGUGACCGCCUUUUCAAAAUGAAAAACAUAUUUUCUCUCUGAAUGAAAUUUCUUAGCCAGGAAUAACAUGUGACAAUUAACAUACACUAAAUUCCAGUUAGUGUUCAAUAGUUUCAUAUCAUUGCUCUUUGAUUAAUUAAAUGAAUAAAAAUGAAAAUAGAAAUAUGUUCUGCUUUGAUCAUUCUCUGCAUAAUAUUUAGCUCAUUUUCUUAAGUCCUCAAUUUACUUUGAGCACUAAAAAAUAAUUUGUGUUUUCCCUUGCUUUGAAAAGUAUGCUAUUACAAUUUAGUCUUGUUAAAUAUGUGUUUACAAGUGUUGCUAUUCAUGUCAAAUUUACUUGUUUCCUUAGCACUUCUCCAUUUAAGUAAAAAACAAACAGCUUCUUUUAUCCAUUUAUUUAAAUUUUUAUCUAUGUAUUGCCAAAACAUGAAAACUUAACACUUUUGAAUUGAUGCAGGCUGCUUCUAAGUGAAAAAUAUGCACAUCAAGGGCAAUGCAAUUUAUUCUUACUUUAGAGACUCUAAGUGGAGGAGAGGUAGAAUAUACUGCUGUUUUGCUCAGAUCUGAAUAAGCAAUCUGACCAUAUAACAACCAGCAUCCAUCACUGUUAUACACAGUGAUCUGCGCGAGCUCUUGUUUAGGAUGUACACUUUGGCCAUCUUUAAAAUAGGGAUUUCUUGUUAAAGAGGUGUUAAAAAAAAGUUUCCAUUUAAAAAUCUGUCCUUACUUUAGGGAGAAUCAUGGAUUGGGAAAAAUACAAAUUUCAGAAUACUUCUGGGAAAGGUUUAAUUUGUUAGUUCUUCACUGGUUUAUAAUUGCUAUAUGUGAAGAUAAUUAGAGAAUAAAAGCUAACUCCAUGCUAAAAAAAAUAAUCUAUCCUUACUUUAGGAACACCUCAGAAUUAUGCACAUUUGACUUUUUUCUAUUGCUGAUUUGAUUUCCAGCUAAAGCAUUGCUAAAGGGAGUAGGACAGAGACACCAGGAAGCAAACCUCUUGUCCUACAACAUUAGGGCAUUUUUGUUUUUACAUGUUAAGGGGCUUGACCUGUAAGUUUCUGUGAAGAAUUUGGGAUACGGAGUAGAAAAAUACCUUCCCUAAUAGGUAAAAUAUGGUAUAAAGCAUACUUAAAUUAUGCAUAUAAUUAUGCCAUUAUUUUCUCUAAUGUAUAAUAAAAAAGAUAAUUAAAUGUCACGAGUUAGGAACGAGGAUAACAGUAAUGAUAACAUAAUGUGAUUAGACUAGAUUAUCUCCAGGUUUUUAUUUACUUAUUUUUAAAAUUUGUUACCUCUUUGAUGUGAUUGCUUUCAACCAUUACUAGGCAAUCCUAUAGUCAAUACAGGAUUAUUCAGUUACUAUAUAUAUACUCUUAAAGUUAAUUUAGAGUUAAUAAUAAACCAGAAUUACAUGUUUUAUAUGCACUAAAAUCUCUCCAGAAUUCCCAACUUAAAAAUUCUUUAAUCAGCUUAGUUGACUUCAAUGUUUUUUUAAAAGGCAAAAGGCCAAGAGAGUUUUAUGAAACUGUUAUGUAUCCAUCUACAAAUAUUUCAGAAGUGCACUGCUCUUACAUAUAAAAAAGUCAUUUUGAUUGCACUUUGGAAUCCAGGGGUUAAAAUGUACAGCUUGUAUGACUUCAGUUAAAUAGGCUGUCAACUGUCCAGGCAACUGCAGUACAAAGCUAGGCAUGCCUUUAAUCUUCAAAGAAAAAAAAGUAAGGAGAAUAAAUUCAGUUAUUAGCUUGAAGGUAAAAACAAAUGAAAGGAUAAGGUGAAAGCAAGCAGUAUUAGAGUUCAUAGAUUUCUUAUUAGAAAUUCGAAAUUACAUUAUCAGUGUAUGGUAAUUAUAUAUAUACAUAUGCAUAUAUAUAUACAUAUGCAUAUAUAUAUAUGCACACACACACACACCAUACACAUGCACUCACAUACAAGUACACUCAUGGGUAACUUAAUGACAGAGAUAAUUUCGGAGGAAUGAAUCCUUGGAUGACGUCCUUGCUUAUGCAGACAUCAUGGAGUGCACUUAUACAAACCUAGAUGAUAUAGCCUACUACACAACUAGGCUGUGUGGUAUGGCCUGUUGCUCCCAGCUACAAACCUGUAUGGCAUGGGAUUUGUGAAUCUAAACAUAUCUAAGCAUAGAAGAGGUACAGUAAAAAUACAAUAUAAAAGAUAAAAAAUGGUACAUGUGUAUAGGGCACUUAUAAUGGAUGAGAACUGUAGUAUUAGAAGUUGUCUGGGUGAGUCAGUGAGUGAGUGGUGAGUGCAUGUGAAGACCUAGGACAUUACUUUCCACUACUGUAGAAUUUAUAAACCCUGACCAGAGGCUACACUAAAUUUAUUCAAAAAACAUUUUCUUUGUUUAAUAAUAAAUUAAACUUAGCUUCUGUAACUUCUUUAUAAAGUAUUUAAUUUUUUUUGCCUUUUUUACAACAACGCUUAGCUUAAAACGCAAAUAUGUUGUACAGCUAUACAAUUAUUUUUCCUGUAUUUCCUUAUUUUAUAAACAUUUUCCUAUUUUUUGAUUUUUUUUUUGUUUACUUCUUAAACUUUCCUGUUAAAAAUUAACACACAUUCACAUUAGUCUAGGCCCACAUAGGGCCAGGGUUAUCAAUGUCACUGUCUUCCCUCUCCUCAUCUUCUCUCAGUGGAAGUUCUUCAGGGGCAGCAACAUACAUGGAGCUAUCGUUUUCUAUGACAACAAUGCCUUCUUCUGAAAGACCUCCUGAAAAACUUGUCUGAGGCUAUUCUAUAGUUAAUUUUUUUAAAUAAAUAGGAGUAUACUCUAAAAUAACAAUAAAAAUCAUAGUAUAGUAAGUCCAUAAGCCAGUAACAUAGCCAUUUAUUUUCAUUAUCAAGUAUUAUGUACUGUGCCUUAUUGUAUGUGUUAUACUUUUAUAUGAC